rnacentral:rRNA from 1 species
UACGAAGGGGGCUAGCGUUGUUCGGAAUUACUGGGCGUAAAGCGCGCGCAGGCGGCCUUUCAAGUCAGGGGUGAAAGCCCGGAGCUCAACUCCGGAAUUGCCUUUGAAACUGUCAGGCUCGAGUACGGGAGAGGUGAGUGGAAUUCCCAGUGUAGAGGUGAAAUUCGUAGAUAUCGGGAGGAACACCGGUGGCGAAGGCGGCGAUCUGGGUCGAUACUGACGCUGAGGUGCGAAAGCGUGGGGAGCAAACAGG